rfam:Gammaproteobacteria bacterium SCGC AG-212-F23 AG-212-F23.39, whole genome shotgun sequence.
UUGAGAAUGGAGGAAGUAGGUAUAGGUGUUUGGAGCGUGAUUGGGAAAGCUGACAGGAUGUCAGCUUUAGGGAAAACAGGCCAGGGACUGGCCUUUUUUCCCGACCAAUCAUGCGGAAAACAGCUAUACCUACUUCCUCCAGAUUCUC